GUUGCAGACGAGACUGCAGAUGCAGAUCCUG
rnacentral:piRNA from 1 species